GUCAGUGCCACGAAAGACAAAAGUCAGGGAACUGGUACAGUUUACAAGAGACUAAAGAGACAGAGCAACUCAAAGCAAUGAGGGACACAGAAGUGGAUCAUGGAUGAAGAAAAGGACACCACAAAGAAAGCUACUCAGCAACUGAGCACCAUGGUAAUUUCUCUGGGGCAUCUGACCACCUUGAGAGAAAGACAUCAAGUCAUAUGGCCCACCCAGAGAACUUGAAGCUGAAGCUGGCAGUCUACAAGGCUCACCCAUGGGGUCAGAACUCCUAAGAAGCCUUUUUAGUACCUCACUCCUAAAUGUGAAUAGACAACCAGCGAUUGUCAGACAUCUAAGGAAAACCAACUUGAAAGCUGGGAAAAUGGCAAUGGACUGAUGAGAAAUUCAUGGUGAAGUAGUGAGGAAAAUUUUACCCAUUGCUCAGAAAGCACUAAGGAUGAAAACAAGUUGAUGCAGAGAUGUUUUUAAAUGGAGAACUACAACUGAAUAUUAUAUUAACCAUUCUCUUUCCUGCUCCUCCGUUCCCAGUG